UACGUAGGGGGCAAGCGUUGUCCGGAUUUAUUGGGCGUAAAGAGCGUGUAGGCGGCUAGACAGGUCUGCUGUGAAAACUCGAGGCUCAACUCCGAAAAGUCAUUGAAUACUAUCUGGCUGGAGGGUCGGAGGGGAGACUGGAAUUCUCGGUGUAGCAGUGAAAUGCGUAGAUAUCGAGAGGAACACCAGUGGCGAAGGCGAGUCUCUGGACGACUCCUGACACUGAGGCACGAAAGCUAGGGGAGCAAACAGG
rnacentral:rRNA from 1 species